rnacentral:tRNA from 1 species
ACGGCAAUGGUCUAGGGGUAUGACAUGAGCUUCCCAAGCUUAUAGCCUGGGUUCGAUUCCCGGUUGCCGUA